rnacentral:rRNA from 1 species
UUUAUCAUGGCUCAAGAUUGAACCUGGCGGCAGGCCUAACACAUGCAAGUCGAGCGGUAGCACAGAGAGCUUGCUCUCGGGUGACGAGCGGCGGACGGGUGAGUAAUGUCUGGGAAACUGCCUGAUGGAGGGGGAUAACUACUGGAAACGGUAGCUAAUACCGCAUAACGUCGCAAGACCAAAGUGGGGGACCUUCGGGCCUCAUGCCAUCAGAUGUGGCCCAGAUGGGAUUAGCUAGUAGGUGGGGUAACGGCUCACCUAGGCGAACGAUCCCUAGCUGGUCUGAGAGGAUGACCAGCCACACUGGAACUGAGACACGGUCCAGACUCCUACGGGAGGCAGCAGUGGGGAAUAUUGCACAAUGGGCGCAAGCCUGAUGCAGCCAUGCCGCGUGUAUGAAGAAGGCCUUCGGGUUGUAAAGUACUUUCAGCGGGGAGGAAGGCGAUAAGGUUAAUACCUUGUCGAUUGAACGUUACCCGCAGAAGAAGCACCGGCUAACUCCSUGCCAGCAGCCGCGGUAAUACGGAGGGUGCAAGCGUUAAUCGGAAUUACUGGGCGUAAAGCGCACGCAGGCGGUCUGUCAAGUCGGAUGUGAAAUCCCCGGGCUCAACCUGGGAACUGCAUUCGAAACUGGCAGGCUAGAGUUCUUGUAGAGGGGGGUAGAAUUCCAGGUGUAGCGGUGAAAUGCGUAGAGAUCUGGAGGAAUACCGGUGGCGAAGGCGGCCCCCUGGACAAAGCUGACGCUCAGGUGCGAAAGCGUGGGGAGCAAACAGGAUUAGAUACCCUGGUAGUCCACGCCGUAAACGAUGUCGAUUUGGAGGUUGUGCCCUUGAGGCGUGGCUUCCGGAGCUAACGCGUUAAAUCGACCGCCUGGGGAGUACGGCCGCAAGGUUAAAACUCAAAUGAAUUGACGGGGGCCCGCACAAGCGGUGGAGCAUGUGGUUUAAUUCGAUGCAACGCGAAGAACCUUACCUGGUCUUGACAUCCACAGAACUUAGCAGAGAUGCUUUGGUGCCUUCGGGAACUGUGAGACAGGUGCUGCAUGGCUGUCGUSAGCUCGUGUUGUGAAAUGUUGGGUU